CAUGUAUAAACGCAAACCGUCUGAAAGGACGGGACGCAAAGUCAGGAAUCUAAUGCCCGACCAGGGCUAUGAUCGUCCGGCCGCCGUG
rnacentral:ncRNA from 1 species